UGUUGACCAUAUGAAUUUUCGACAGUAUGUUGAACAUAUGUUUAAAACAUAUGUUGAACAUAUGUUUGAAAUAUAUGUUGAACAUAUAGCAGACCCAAAACAUAUGUUGAACAUAUGUUUGUGGUAACUAUAUGCUUAACAUACGUGAACAUAUUUUAAACAUAUGGUUGUUUCAAACAUAUGUUCAACAUAUGUUUUGAGUUUCACAUAAAAUUCAUACUGAACAUUAUAUAAUAAUUUAAUUUUGUUUGUAUUCUAGCUUCUGAUUGGUUAAUAUCCAAAAAGGAACACAAAUUAUUUCUGUAUAACCUGGUUUGGUACGGGGACACACCCCCCUGACAACCAGCUGGAUCAUCUGUAUCCAUACAAUUCUCUCAUUUCCAGUCCUCGGGAUUCAUGGAAAAUUCCAGAUUUAAUCAAUGUACCUUUAACUUCAAACAAUAAUUCGAUCUUACCACAUGUAAACAAACAACAAGGCUGCUAGGCCUAUGUAUCAGUUUUUACCUCCCCUCGCUUCCCAUCACUUCCGAUACUUCCGUUACUACGGUUGUAUUAUUGAGCGACAAAUUUGAACUAAUAAAAAGCAACGAAAUUUUACUUCCAUAGUCAUUUAAUGAUUUUAAAGUUAAAUUAUAAGGAAUGACUCUAAUUCUUGGCCAAAAUAUUCGAGUAUAACCUGGUUUUGAGUCAGUUUACGCUGUUUUAUAAUCCGCGCAAUACAGUUAAGGUGACAAAAGGAAAUAUCGGCCAAUUUUUACAUAGAAAAUACAUUCUUUACAAGGAUGGACAAUUCUUUUUAGGACUUUACUAUUAUCGGACAAAUGCAAUGUGGUUGAAAACUACAUGUUGAGGACAAUUAGAUUUCUUAUUUAGACUUGUCACGUGAUGAGGAAGUCAUGUGAUUUUAGCAAAUAUACCUGAAGUAUUGAGGUCAUCUAUAAAUUCCAAUAUUGCAAGGGCAUAACCAAGUUAAAAAUCUAGUUUAAUAUAUACUUACUUUCAACACUCUUUAUAUUUUGUGAAAAGUGCUGCGAACCUAUAUAGAUUCUACUAUCUAAUUGCUAAAAUUACAUUUGUUAGACCGUAUGUUGAAUAUUUUGCUGGUCAAGUACAUUAAAUAUAGAUAUAAUUAAUUCAUUUGUAAGAUUUCAACAGGUUCGCAGCACUUUUCAAAUAUCUUCAUACUUCUUGAAUUUAUGUGUAAAAGCUUGUCAUAAUUCAUUGAGGGUAUGCCCUUGCAAUAUAUCGAUUUAUUACGACCCUUCUAUUACCCUUCAAUGAAUCUGCAUACAAAUAUACGGCAGUAUCGCUUGUCUAGGGAAUGUAUUGGAACUAUAUGAAUAAAAUCAUAAAAUAGACAUCGCAUCCAAGUUAAUGGCCUCUUAUAUAUCUGCAAAUAAUAUUUUAUUUAAUUACAAAAUACAUUUUUCAUUGUAUAAAAUACACUUGAUCCGCCUCUCACUGCAUACAAACUGCGUCAAAUUUUACGAUAUGACGUCACAUUGACAAGUGCAUUGCGAUCAGUGAAUUGUUUAUAUAUUGCUGUGUGGGAUUUAACCAACGACAAAAAUGCAUGCACUAGUUAGUAUUGAUGUAGUUUAAAGCUAUCCAACAGUUUAAAAUAGCAAAUCCUUCCAUUUUGUGGUAAUUUGAAGAACUUAUAUUUUUGUGUGAUGUCAUAGAAAGCAUUUCCCGUAUAAAUUAGGCCCCGCCUCCUUAUUGCAGCCUUAACUGUGCUGCGCGCUUCGCGGAUUAUAAAGCGUAAACUGACCCAAACCAGGUUAUACUCGAAUAAUUUGGCCAAGAAUUAGAGUCAUUCCUAAAAUAACCAAUAUCCUUUUCACAUUUAUUUCAUUUAAUAUUAAGUUAAUGUUAUCGUUAUUUGAAAUAAUUUAUUUUAAUUUAGCGAGAUAAAAAAAUAUGUUAAUUAAUUUAAUGUUAAUCAAUGAAUCAGCAAUAAUUUAAUAUUAAGCCUAAUAUGAAAAACAUGAGUUAGGCCCCCUUUAUGUUAUAUUUUAACACGUCGGAGGGGGGGGGGUCCAGCAAAUUUUGAAAGGGGGAUUUCCAGGUCGGUGCCCCUAACACUCAUGCAUAGAAUCACAACAUAGGCACUUCAAACCAUAGCACUGAACGGUUUUCGAAGGGGACAAUCUCCGAACAGAGUUGACAAGCAACCCCCCCCCCUCCCCCGGCUUCCUUCUGGAUUCGCCAAUGCAAGUAGACUGCAUGUUAAAAAAAAUUAAUUUCAAUAACAUUAAUCAAGAUCAAUUUGAAUACUUAUUUAUUCAAAAGAAUGGUCAUUUCUUAUAGAAGCUUACAUAAAAAAGGGGGAAAGGUUAACUACUCUGUUAGGUACCGUGCACCCCUCCUCCACUCGUUUCUUCAAAUUCAGUCCCCCCCCUCCUUUCUUCGAAUCAAAAUUUUUCUUUUUGAACAUUGUAUUCCCCAAAUUAAAUUUAUCAAGAAUUAAUAAAUGUGUAUUUUACCACGUUUUGUUUGGAUUUUUUAUAUGAGUUUAAAAAAAUCAUUCCAUAUUUUAUUCCCUGAACGGUUUUGGUUUUUAUUGGAUGAAAGUGUACGUACGUCAUUUUUGACGUCACUGUUGCAGCAGAAGUGUUGGGUGUUGGAAACAAGUAAGUGUUUUCAGAUAUGUUUUUAGAAUUUAGUUUAUGGUGGUAAGAGAUUUUUUUAGGGUUACAGAUUCAUACGAACUUCUACUAUUCUCUCUCCUGACUUGCAUAACAUCUAACUGUAGUUGUUAUUAAUGCAGUUCGUAAAAAGACGAUACAUGUAGUGAUCUUGUCUACGUUAUUUUGGAUUUGUUUUCGACCAAUGUAAAAACCAAUUAGCAUUACUAAUUUUUCAGAUUUGUUUUCCUUUUGUCAAUUGGCCUAGUUACGUUGCAUAUCAUGUACGAUCUUAAUUGACUUGAAAGUGAAAGUAGAAAUGUUGCAGUUUGUAUGUAGCGUAUGUUAGAUGGUUAUCCAUUCGGUUCUUUUAUCAAAUGAUUAAUGGGAAAUGUUUGUUUUAUUAUGUAUUAAGCAACUGGAGUUCAGUGUCAGAGUACCGUUUUUAUUGAAAGAACCCAAAGCUGUUAAGACUGACUAUUCCACCCAAAGCUGAUUUGACUGAAGAUUGCACGAUCACAAUAUACAGGCUCCCCUCCCUGCUAUGAAUAACAUGGAAGAACACUAUGACCCUAGGCUUGCUCCAGAAUAGAGAACCUGUAUUAAUCAACAGAACCUUAAAAUUGGAGUUUCCAUGGUAGUGCCACUCAGUACCUUAACAUGUGACACUUUCAAAUCCUUUGAUGAAGUUCCAAGGGGUUGUAAAAUGGAAGAAAACAAAGAACAGGGCAAGAAAAAAACAAGUGCUCAAAAUGCAAUGCAGUCACUGUCAGGGAAAUAAAGCCAGAAUUAUGUACAAAUUUGAAAAAAUAAACACAAGAUAAUUGCUGGA